GGAGUGGCGGAAUGGUAGACGCACAGGACUUAAAAUCCUGUGUCCGUUAAGGACGUGAGGGUUCAAGUCCCUCUUCCAG
rnacentral:tRNA from 1 species